GACGGUUUCGGCUGUCACUUACAGAUGGACCCGCGGCGCAUUAGCUAGUUGGUGGGGUAAUGGCUCACCAAGGCGACGAUGCGUAGCCGACCUGAGAGGGUGAUCGGCCACACUGGGACUGAGACACGGCCCAGACUCCUACGGGAGGCAGCAGUAGGGAAUCUUCCGCAAUGGACGAAAGUCUGACGGAGCAACGCCGCGUGAGUGAUGAAGGUUUUCGGAUCGUAAAGCUCUGUUGUUAGGGAAGAACAAGUGCGAGAGUAACUGCUCGCACCUUGACGGUACCUAACCAGAAAGCCACGGCUAACUACGUGCCAGCAGCCGCGGUAAUACGUAGGUGGCAAGCGUUGUCCGGAAUUAUUGGGCGUAAAGGGCUCGCAGGCGGUUUCUUAAGUCUGAUGUGAAAGCCCCCGGCUCAACCGGGGAGGGUCAUUGGAAACUGGGAAACUUGAGUGCAGAAGAGGAGAGUGGAAUUCCACGUGUAGCGGUGAAAUGCGUAGAGAUGUGGAGGAACACCAGUGGCGAAGGCGACUCUCUGGUCUGUAACUGACGCUGAGGAGCGAAAGCGUGGGGAGCGAACAGGAUUAGAUACCCUGGUAGUCCACGCCGUAAACGAUGAGUGCUAAGUGUUAGGGGGUUUCCGCCCCUUAGUGCUGCAGCUAACGCAUUAAGCACUCCGCCUGGGGAGUACGGUCGCAAGACUGAAACUCAAAGGAAUUGACGGGGG
rnacentral:rRNA from 1 species